GCGCACCAGGCGCGAAAACUUUACAAUGUGCGAAAGCACGAUAAGGGAACUCUGAGUGCCUCCUAAGGAGGCUGUUCAGGUGUCUAAAAAGCACCUGAAGGAAGGGCUGGGUAAGACCGGUGCCAGCCGCCGCGGUAACACCGGCAGCCCAAGUGGUAGCCACGUUUAUUGGGUCUAAAGCGUCCGUAGCCGGCUGGGUAAGUUCCUUGGGAAAUUUGGCUGCUUAACAGUCAAGCUUUUCAGGGAAUACUGCCCCGGCUUGGGACCGGGAGAGGUCAGAGGUACUCCAGGGGUAGGGGUGAAAUCCAUUAAUCCUUGGGGGGCCACCGGUAGCGAAGGCGUCUGACCAGACCGGGUCCGACGGUGAGGGACGAAGGCCUAGGGGGC
rnacentral:rRNA from 1 species